ACACAAGGAAGGAGGUGGUCCGCGAAAUUGAUAGCUUCAUGGACAUGUGAGGUGGCUACGAGCUAGCUGCAUUGGCUCGGAAGAGCCGGCGACAAUGCACGCUGGCGAAUUCCCCGUAGCCACCCGGCCCCCGAGUUCCGGUCAGUCCAACCGGAGAUGCGCUCGGGGGCCGUUCCAU
rnacentral:sRNA from 1 species